UGCAAGUCGAACGGAAGUCGUUAUAAAAGGAGAGAAGAUUUAUCGGAUUGAAUUUUAUAACAAUGGCUUUAGUGGCGGACUGGUGAGUAACGCGUAAGGAACCUACCUAUUAGAGGGGAACAACAAUGAGAAAUCAUUGCUAAUACCGCAUAUGCCAUAACUACCGCAUGGUAGAAGUGGGAAAGGAGUAAUUCGCUGAUAGAUGGCCUUGCGUCUGAUUAGUUAGUUGGUGGGGUAACGGCCUACCAAGACGACGAUCAGUAGCCGGACUGAGAGGUUGAACGGCCACAUUGGGACUGAGAUACGGCCCAGACUCCUACGGGAGGCAGCAGUCGGGAAUAUUGCGCAAUGGAGGAAACUCUGACGCAGUGACGCCGCGUGCAGGAAGAAGGUUUUCGGAUUGUAAACUGCUUUAGACAGGGAAGAGAAAGGACAGUACCUGUAGAAUAAGCUCCGGCUAACUACGUGCCAGCAGCCGCGGUAAUACGUAGGGAGCGAGCGUUAUCCGGAUUUAUUGGGUGUAAAGGGUGCGUAGACGGGAAUACAAGUUAGUUGUGAAAUACCUCGGCUUAACUGAGGAACUGCAACUAAAACUAUAUUUCUUGAGUACAGGAGAGGUAAGUGGAAUUCCUAGUGUAGCGGUGAAAUGCGUAGAUAUUAGGAGGAACACCAGUGGCGAAGGCGACUUACUGGACUGAAACUGACGUUGAGGCACGAAAGUGUGGGGAGCAAACAGGAUUAGAUACCCUGGUAGUCCACACCGUAAACGAUGGAUACUAGGUGUAGGAGAUAUUAAGUCUUCUGUGCCGUCGCAAACGCAGUA
rnacentral:rRNA from 1 species